UACAUUUAGAAAGUGGGGAGACCAGGAGGCACUCUGUUCCGCAGAACAAAGGCACUAGGCUUUAGCCCACAUGACUUUCAUUAAGGAAGGUGAUGAGAUUAGUGGGCAAAACAAAGCUAUCUCUUAGUGAUACCAAAGGGAACUACUAGCAAGGAAGUUACUGGUGCAUACCCUUAGGACAUAGUGCAGCUGUUUGUAGAACAGCAAGGUUAAUGCAUAAGUCCUUUAUCUUGUCUUUGAAGGAGACCCUGUACUUGAGAACUCUGCAUUGGCAUACAUGUUCUGGCUUCACCACACACCAAGUUUGCUUUCUGCAGAGUUCAGCAGCUCAGUGGUCUCCAACACAUCAUUAGGUCUUUCAAAUUGUUUUCUUUUUUGUUAUGAUUUUGGUUAAUGUCUUCCUGAUUAUAGAAAGAUAUUCUGACAAAUGACAAAUGAGAGGUUUUUUAAUAGAAUAGACUAUAAAGUAGCCUGUUGGAACACAAAUAUUUUAGAUCCUUUUUGUGAGACAUGUUUUAUUUUGCUUCAACAAUCCCCUGAGUAUCUAGCACAGUUACAGUCACUUACCAAGUGAGUAGUUAAAAAGAUCAUGGGUUUGUAGUCCGAUAUUUUGGGGUUCAGUAUCUCUCCCAGUUUCUAUUUCUUUGGUCAUAGUAACUGACUUUUAUGGCAUCUAGCCUAUUUGCUCCUUAGUAAAAUGUGGAUAGUAACAACUCCUGCAUAUUUGUGUGAAUGUUAAAUCUAACUAAAUGCAUGUGUACAUGAAACAUAAUAUUAUGAAUGACAUGCAUGGAAGUUUAGACUCAGUAAAAACUAACUUUUAUUCCUAUUAUUUCUAUAUUUUUGAUUUUUGAAACAACUUCAUUGAUUUGGACAUAACCUAUAGCCAAGUAAUUUUAUAUAUGGUUUGUGAAUGGGAUGGAUCUCAGGGAAUCUAUUUGUCUUGAAAGAGAGAAGUAUAAAAGAAUACACUCAUAUGAAAGACAAUUUGGUUAUUCUAAUCUGGGUAAACACAGGAUUAUUGCCUUGUUUCAUUUACCUCAAUAAAAUAAAAUUUGAAAUUUUAAUGGUUAACUCUAUACCGAGAGGACCUUUUUCACAUAUUUUUACUUAUGGUACAAGAGUCAGUGCAUUGAUGGAUUUAAAUAUGAAUUGUUGAAAUUAGGGAUGCCAGAAAAUCAAUCCUGAUUCCAUGCUGACAGGUGACCAUUCAGUGCAGGCAUGAAAAUAGUUUGGCUGUGGUACCUUUUGCUUUUCUCCUUUAGUUUUACACAGCUCAGUGCUCUCAUGUUCAUCACUGCAUCAUGAUGUUAUUCAGAUGUAAGUUUCAAGAGGAAAUAAAUAACUUUUUCUAUGGACUAUACCCAUGAACUUCACCCAGCACUCCUCUUGUCCUCUAAGCUCUCACGUUUCUUCUGUGUGGAAAGACUUUUAUGUGGAAGCCUGACUUCCUCCAUUUCUUCUCCUUUUCUUACCUCAGCAGUGAGGAUCACUUCUCUGCUUGACAUUGUCACUUGUUUCUUUGUUAAUCUGUGCCUGUUUAAGUCUUCUAUAAAACCUCCAAUAAAAUCACCUAUAAAGCCAUCAGGUGUCAGGUACAAUAAUAAAAGUCUGUAGAAACAAAAUCACCCUAAUGAAAGGAAAGGAAACCUAAAAUUCUUGUCCAUGUGCUUCCAAUUAGAAGUGUUUCCCCUUGCUUGCCAUUAUUUAUAGCUCUGUUAAUGAUGGAAUUCACACUGAAAUAAAUGUCUUUCUUUGUUGGUGAUUAUUCAUGAGGCCCAUGUGCCUAUAAGUACCUCAAACAGGACAUUCUAUAUGGUAGUUUGAGAUUGAGGAUCACUGGGAAUUGGUGUAGAAGGCUGAGAAAGGACUUCACCUGUAGCUUUACAAUAGUUCCAUUGAGAUCUAGGUCUUACUGGCCCAGAGGAUGAACAAUUGUGACCACUAAAGGAAAUUUAUGGAAAUUAGUUGAACAAUUCCAGUGUGGCUCUGGAAUGUCAAAAUUGCAAUUUGUGCAGAUGGUGAUCCUUUAGUCAACCAAGCAAUGAAAAUAAAGCUGCUGCCACUUGUCAGAAAACCAGCAUUUGGAGGAAAAGGUUGUUGUAUAGCACUAGCCCACAUUGGCAGGUAGGUAGCAGGCACAAGCUUGUGCUGAAAGAUGCUAAAUUUUCUUUUCUAGGAUUUGAUAGCCUACUGCCAAUAUUUCUCCCCAGAGCUCUUAAUUUAGAUUGGAAUUUCAAGGCUCCCCAUUUCAUAACUGGAAAAGACAUCUAUGAAAAGAGAAGACUUAAUGAUAGCUUUCAUCCAUUGACUACUCUUGAGGCAUUUUACAUAUUCAUAGUUCACAAAACAGCCCUACAAUGUAGGCGUUUUUACAGUGAUUUUUACAUGUGAGAAAACUAUCCCUGAGAGGCUAAUCACCGAGUAAGCUAUUAUCCAAACAGCCUGAUUUAUCCCUUGGACUCAUAAUCCUUGAGCUACACCAUUCUGCCCAUGAGUUAAUUGAGUAAAUUAUGAGUUCAUCUUUUCCACAUCAUCACAGAUCUCAUUCUUACUAACAUAUAUCCCCAAAUCCCUACAUUUUUUUUUCUUGCAUAAUUACAAUAAUACCCUCUUCUGGAGGAGUCUGUAUAGGUUUAGUUAGUCAAAAGUAUUUCCUCCUGGUUGUCAGGAGUAUUUUGUUGUUGUUUUUACAGAUUUUGAGUCCCCUAAUUAUAUGGUUUUGAAGGAUUAUGGCUGGUAACUUAAUUCUGCUAGAAUUAAUGUGAAAUGCUGUGGUGAUUUAACCUAAAUCCUCUCUGUCUGACAGUACAUGCAUGAUAUGGAGUAGUGAAGUAAACAUUCAGUGUCUCAAACACUUUGUUUCUCUAUUCCUGUGAUUUAAAAUGUUUCAUGCGUUUAAACUCCCAUGCAUUCUACACACUUUUUUACACAUUUUCUUUUGCAUUUCCCCCCAUGGAAAGCACAGACAUAAAUGAGUAAUUUGUCUUCUAAACUCUUGAUAUAUUGAGAAAUAACUAUAGCAAUGGUCGCUGUGCCAGCAAAAGUUUUAAUUUAGGUAAAUAUUCAAUUUGUAUCUAUUUUAUUUCAUUCAAAUAUUCCUGAAACAUUGUAAAUCUCUCUCUUUUUUUUUUUUUUUUUUUAAUUAAUGAUGUUCCCUUGGAGUCUCCAGAACUUGCUCAAUUUAUGAUUCAGGAGCCAUUUAAAUUUUCACCAUUGUCUCUCUCUUAUUUAUUAUUAUUUUUGCAAUUUUUGUAUAGCAUUUCAACUUGUAAACCCCUUAAAUAUUUUUUAAAAGUUUUCAUUAGAUACUAUUUAGUGGCAUGUUCCAGAUUUCUAUGUUCCAUAGACAAUGCUGUGUCUAUAUUAAUAGAGAAUAGUAUUUAGGGUUUCAUGUACUACAGUAACCUAAUAAAAUACCUGAGUAUCUUGCCAAAGUCAUAAACAGAUUAUUAUUUCUCUUCUUUCAAAACUUUUAUCUGCUGCAAGAAACCGUUGCUGAUCUUAUGGGAUGGCUUAAAGGAACUUACUUUAUUUGGUCUAAGGCUGCCACUUUUCUUCUCUAAAAGUUAUUUCCUGUCCCCAUUGAGUGAUUCAGUCACUCCUGUCCUUCUUAGUUUGCUAUUAUGACACAUUCCUGGAUUGUAGUCUUCCUACAUUUGUAGACAUACAGCAUAGAGUCAGGUGAUUAAGUUCAGGAAAUAAAUUUGUUACCAGUGACUGGUAAAAUAUCCUAGCCUGCUUUUCCUAUGGAUUAGGGAGGAGUUUUAUGGUUUUCAUCAGGGUCUUAAGGAGAGUUCUGAACCAAAAUAAUCCAAAAUGGUAUUUUAUGCAGAUAUUUAGGUGUGUUAUAAACAAAUAGUCACUUAACAUUUAAUAGUGAAAAUAAUCUCUCAGGAGAGAGCAUUGGAGAAUAUCUUCAUGCCAUGGCAUGGUCGGAUAUUUCUUGAACAGAUCACUAUCGAAAAAAUGUCUGUUGAAUUCGAUGUCAUUACAAUUCAGAAUUCCGUUUAAUCAAAAGACACUGUCAAAUAAAGAAAAUGCGAAGCAGAAAAAGAUGUUUGCAAUAUAUAUGUCAAAUGAUUUGUAUUUAAAAUGCAUAAAGAAUCUCAGCAAAGUAACAACAAAAGGACAAACACCUUAGAGGGGAAAAAAUACCAAAACAACAGCAAAAUAGUCAGUUUGCAAAAGAAUACAUCUUUCAGUGAAAGAUAAUGUGAAAUAAUGUGAUAAUUCAGUGAACUCAAUGAUAUGCCAUUUAGACUCAUCAUAAUGGCGGAAAUAAAAAAUUAAAAAAUCUGACAAUGCCAAGUGCUGAUUAGCAUGUUGAACAAAUGCUAAUUAUACGGCUACCACGAAUAUUAAUUGUUAGGAACAUCUCACAAAAUUUGUUUGCCGUUCCUGCUAUAACACGUGUACCCUCACAUUCUGUCGAUACACGUACAUAUAGAGAUGCUAGAUUACAGUGUGUGCUUAUGUGUAUGUGUGACUCAGAAGAGACGUAUAUGUCUAUGCAGCAAAAGAAAUGGACAGGAAUACAUUGUUCACAAUAGAGCCUGAAUUGGGUUAAAAGCUUCUGGUGUUCAUCACUACUACAUUGGAUAAAUAAACCAUGGUCACACAAUGGGAUACUGUACAUUAAUGAAAAUUACAAACUACUGUUACUUGCAAAAACAGAGAUGCACAUCACACAAAUAUGAUUCUGAGUGAAAGAAGUCACAGGGAGUUCGUGUCGUGGCUCAGCGGUAAUGAACUGACUAGUAUCCAUGAGGACGUGGGCUCGUCCCUGGCCUCGCUCUGUGGAUUAAGGAUCCAGCGUUGCGUGAGCGGUAGUGUAGGUUGCAGCUAGGCUUGGUCCAUUAUUGCUCUGACUGUGGUGUAGGCUGGCAGGUACAGCUCCGGUUUGAACCCUAGCCUUGGAAUUCCAUAUGCCAUGG
rnacentral:lncRNA from 1 species